AGUGAACGCUGGCGGUAGGCCUAACACAUGCAAGUCGAACGGCAGCACAGUAAGAGCUUGCUCUUACGGGUGGCGAGUGGCGGACGGGUGAGGAAUACAUCGGAAUCUACUUUUUCGUGGGGGAUAACGUAGGGAAACUUACGCUCAUACCGCAUACGACCUACGGGUGAAGGCAGGGGAUCUUCGGACCUUGCGCGAUUGAAUGAGCCGAUGUCGGAUUAGCUAGUUGGCGGGGUAAAGGCCCACCAAGGCGACGAUCCGUAGCUGGUCUGAGAGGAUGAUCAGCCACACUGGAACUGAGACACGGUCCAGACUCCUACGGGAGGCAGCAGUGGGGAAUAUUGGACAAUGGGCGCAAGCCUGAUCCAGCCAUACCGCGUGGGUGAAGAAGGCCUUCGGGUUGUAAAGCCCUUUUGUUGGGAAAGAAAAGCAGCAGGUUAAUACCCCGCUGUUCUGACGGUACCCAAAGAAUAAGCACCGGCUAACUUCGUG
rnacentral:rRNA from 1 species